rnacentral:rRNA from 1 species
AUUGAACGCUGGCGGCAGGCCUAACACAUGCAAGUCGAGCGAGCGGCGGACGGGUGAGUAAUGUAUGGGGAUCUGCCUGAUGGAGGGGGAUAACUACUGGAAACGGUAGCUAAUACCGCAUACCAUCAGAUGUGCCCAGAUGGGAUUAGCUAGUAGGUGGGGUAAUGGCUCACCUAGGCGACGAUCCCUAGCUGGUCUGAGAGGAUGACCAGCCACACUGGAACGGAGACACGGUCCAGACUCCUACGGGAGGCAGCAGUGGGGAAUAUUGCACAAUGGGCGCAAGCCUGAUGCAGCCAUGCCGCGUGUAUGAAGAAGGCCUUCGGGUUGUAAAGUACUUUCAGCGAGGAGGCGUUACCGACAGAAGAAGCACCGGCUAACUCCGUGCCAGCAGCCGCGGUAAUUC